rnacentral:rRNA from 1 species
CUAGAAAAAAUCUAAGGUGAUACCUGCCCAAUGAUUUCAAAACUAAAAAUAAACAUCUUAAAAGAAAUUUAAAGGACGCAGUAACUUGACUGUGGUAAAGUAGCAUAAUCAUUUGCCAUUUAAUUGGUGGAUAGCAUGAAUGGUUAAACGAGUCCUCCGCUAUCUAAAAAAGAGAAAUCAUGAAAUUAAAACAAUAGUUAUGAUACUAUUUAAAAUUGUAAGACGAAAAGACCCUAUAGAGCUUAACUAUAUUCCUCCUUAAAAUAAAAAAAAUUAUCUUACAAAAUAGGAAGAAGGCUAGUUUAGUUGGGGCGACUGCCUUCUAAAAAUAACGAAGGCAAGCUAAGUUAAUAAAAAACUUACUGUACAAUAAAUAAAUUUAACAGUUACUACUGUAGGCUAUAAUGACCCGUUAAAACUUAGUAAUAAGAUUAACGAUCAAUAAAUAAAAGUUACCUUAGGGAUAACAGGAUAAUUUUGUCUCAGAGACCUUAUCGAAGACAAAGUUUAUCACCUCUAUGUUGAAUUAAGAUAUCCAAAUAGUGCAGAAGCUAUUAAAGGUAGGUCUGUUCGACCUUUAAAAU